GAUGAGCGCUGGCGGCGUGCCUAAUACAUGCAAGUAGAACGCUGAAGCUUGGUGCUUGCACCGAGCGGAUGAGUUGCGAACGGGUGAGUAACGCGUAGGUAACCUGCCUCUUAGCGGGGGAUAACUAUUGGAAACGAUAGCUAAUACCGCAUAAAAGACGAUAUCGCAUGAUAUUGAUUUGAAAGGUGCAAAUGCAUCACUAAGAGAUGGACCUGCGUUGUAUUAGCUAGUUGGUGAGGUAACGGCUCACCAAGGCAACGAUACAUAGCCGACCUGAGAGGGUGAUCGGCCACACUGGGACUGAGACACGGCCCAGACUCCUACGGGAGGCAGCAGUAGGGAAUCUUCGGCAAUGGGGGCAACCCUGACCGAGCAACGCCGCGUGAGUGAAGAAGGUUUUCGGAUCGUAAAGCUCUGUUGUAAGAGAAGAACGAGUGUGAGAGUGGAAAGUUCACACUGUGACGGUAACUUACCAGAAAGGGACGGCUAACUACGUGCCAGCAGCCGCGGUAAUACGUAGGUCCCGAGCGUUAUCCGGAUUUAUUGGGCGUAAAGCGAGCGCAGGCGGUUAGAUAAGUCUGAAGUUAAAGGCUGUGGCUUAACCAUAGUACGCUUUGGAAACUGUUUAACUUGAGUGCAGAAGGGGAGAGUGGAAUUCCAUGUGUAGCGGUGAAAUGCGUAGAUAUAUGGAGGAACACCGGUGGCGAAAGCGGCUCUCUGGUCUGUAACUGACGCUGAGGCUCGAAAGCGUGGGGAGCAAACAGG
rnacentral:rRNA from 1 species